rfam:Heligmosomoides polygyrus genome assembly, scaffold: HPBE_scaffold0004509
GCGCCGGUGGUGUAAUGGCGUAGAGCAUUCCCGCCCGGUCAGAGGGAGGUGAGGGUUCGAGUCCCGCCUGGCGCC